rnacentral:sRNA from 1 species
UGUAAUAUCAAAGGGGUCCGCUGACAUU